rnacentral:rRNA from 1 species
GAUGAACGCUGGCGGCGUGCUUAACACAUGCAAGUCGAACGGAAAGGCCGAAGCUUGCUUCGGUACUCGAGUGGCGAACGGGUGAGUAACACGUGGGUGAUCUGCCCUGUACUUCGGGAUAAGCUUGGGAAACUGGGUCUAAUACCGGAUAUGACAAUCUCUUGGAUGGGGUUGUGGAAAGCUUUUGCGGUAUGGGAUGAGCUCGCGGCCUAUCAGCUUGUUGGUGGGGUAAUGGCCUACCAAGGCGUCGACGGGUAGCCGGCCUGAGAGGGUGUACGGCCACAUUGGGACUGAGGUACGGCCCAGACUCCUACGGGAGGCAGCAGUGGGGAAUAUUGCACAAUGGGCGCAAGCCUGAUGCAGCGACGCCGCGUGGGGGAUGACGGCCUUCGGGUUGUAAACUCCUUUCGCAACCGACGAAGCUUUUUGUGACGGUAGGUGGAGAAGAAGCACCGGCUAACUACGUG